rnacentral:tRNA from 2 species
CGCGGGAUGGAGCAGUGGUAGCUCGUCGGGCUCAUAACCCGAAGGUCACAGGUUCGAGUCCUGUUCCCGCUACUA